GACAAAGCAAAACGAAAUCUUUGCUUCAAUGGAGUAAAAAAGGCAGAGGUAGACAGAGACAGAAACAUUUUUUUGCCAAUUUUUCCUCUUAAAGACUCAAACAAUGUCUUUUUCUCUGCAAUUCAACUACCCCAUCUUAAGCUUUUCAUGUUCCCAACAUUAUGAUGGGACUAGAACUCAUCCCUUUAGAUUAUUGUGUACUCCACUAUCUGAUUCUUCUAUCAGCAGAGAUGAAGAAGAAGCUAUUAAAGACUCAUAUGGGUAUGUAUGGGAAAAUGAUAAAGGGCAUAUAGUUUUAGUGGAGAAGUACAGGAAUGGAACUUUGAAAAGGUAUGUUAUAGAUAGUGACUCUGAAAUGAAAAUGUUUCUUGAGGAGCAUGUGCCCACGACUACUGGAUCCCAAGAUCUUGAUAUCUCUGGCAUGGAGUUAUCGUGGCUGCCUAAGGUUAUCAAGGAUUUUGUGUUACCAUCAGGUUUCCCAGAUACAGUUUCAGAUGAUUACUUGGACUACAUGUUGCUUCAGUUCCCAACCAAUGUAACUGGGUGGAUCUGUCACACGCUGGUGACUUCAAGUCUCUUAAAGGCAUUUGGAGUGGGCUCUUUCUCUGGAACUUCCGCAGCUGCUACUGCUGCUGCUUCUGCUGCUGCCAUCAGAUGGGUUUCAAAGGAUGGAAUUGGUGCCCUUGGACGCUUUUUUAUAGGUGGGCGGUUUGGAAAUCUUUUUGAUGAUGAUCCAAAACAAUGGCGCAUGUAUGCAGAUUUCAUUGGCAGUGCAGGAAGUAUAUUUGAUCUCUGUACCCCUCUCUAUCCAUCUUAUUUCCUACCUUUAGCAUCUCUUGGAAAUCUUGCCAAGGCUGUAGCGAGGGGGCUAAAGGACCCUUCAUUCCGGGUUAUACAAAACCACUUUGCUCUGGCUGGAAAUUUGGGAGACGUAGCAGCAAAGGAGGAAGUCUGGGAAGUAGCUGCUGAGCUGCUAGGUCUUUCUCUCGGCAUACUAGCCUUGGAUACACCUGGUAUCUCAAAGUCUUAUCCUACAUUGGCACUAACAUGGUUAAGUGUGCGGAUCCUACAUCUUUGGUUUCGCUAUCAGUCUCUUGCAGUUCUGCAAUUCAACACGAUAAAUCUCAAACGGGCUCGAAUAUUAGUGAACUCCCAUGUUUUACACUGUACAGUUCCAGGAAUCAGUGAAUGCAAUAGGACGGAGAAUAUUUUAUUGUGGCAAAGAUUCUUAAAGCCACGUAUUAUUUUUGAGGUAUCUUUGCAGGAGAUGAUCAAUGGAGGCAAAUACGGAUCCAUGCAGAUCAAGCAACUCCUUAAUCUGUACAAGGAGGAAAAAUAUUUUCUUGUAAUAAAUCAACAGAAGCCAACAGAUUUUCAGGUCUUUGUAUCUUUCAAGGAAGGAGCCACAAGCAUAUCGGUGUUACGAAGUGUAUGGCAAACCUAUUGGCUAUAUCAAAACUGGGGCUGGUCAGAUAAUAUCUUUGAUCGGCUUGAACAGAGCUUAGUCGAAUUGAAGGAUAGAUUUCCUGAUCUAUUACAACAACUAACUGAUGCUGGAUGGGAUACAACUAAUUUAAGUUUAAAGGUCCCAAGAGAAAUGUCGAUCAAGGAGCUUCCUGCCUUGAAUUAGUUUCACAUAUGGCCACUGAAUUUUAUCCACUACAACAGGUUUGAGCUAAAGCUACCAGGUUCUGCCGAACCCUAUCUCUAAGGCUGGCUCGGCCCCCUCGCCUGACUUAUCCACAAUAACUCAUAACACCAGGAAACACCUCUUGGCAGUUGAUCAUGCAACAAAAUCCUUGCACUAAACUUUUUUGCAUGUGAGAUGGGUCUGUUGCCUCAAGUUUACCUUCACUGAGUUUGCAUGGAUGAUCAGUAUAUAAGUAAGAUCUGUGGUUUCAUUUCCGAUUUUAUAUUGUGACUUCUGAGUCACUAUCCUUUUGCUGUUGGAUGACAAGUUUUCAAUGGCCCCGUCUCCUUGGAAGAGAUCGCUGCAUAAUCGGAGCAAAUUGAAUUGUUAUAGUCAUAAAUAUUCUUGAUAAUUUUACCUACAGUUUGUAGAGAGUGCUGCUGACAAACUUCCAUAGUUCUUUCUUGAGAAAAAAAUUCAUGAAAACAGAGGACCUGUAUAGUAAUGCCAUUUGGAUAAUUCUUUAUGAAACAGAAGACAUGUUCAGGAAUACCAUUUUAGGUCUUUCUUUUUGUGCUAGUAAAUUUUAGUCGAUUUAUGUGAAAUAACAACUAAGUUGUAUUCCUUGUUACUUGUAUCAAUAUAUUUGGAGACAACACGAGAAAUUCACAUUCC